GCUCAGGACGAACGCUGGCGGCGUGCUUAACACAUGCAAGUCGAACGAUGAAGCCUUUCGGGGUGGAUUAGUGGCGAACGGGUGAGUAACACGUGGGCAAUCUGCCCUUCACUCUGGGACAAGCCCUGGAAACGGGGUCUAAUACCGGAUAACACUCUGUCCCGCAUGGGACGGGGUUAAAAGCUCCGGCGGUGAAGGAUGAGCCCGCGGCCUAUCAGCUUGUUGGUGGGGUAAUGGCCUACCAAGGCGACGACGGGUAGCCGGCCUGAGAGGGCGACCGGCCACACUGGGACUGAGACACGGCCCAGACUCCUACGGGAGGCAGCAGUGGGGAAUAUUGCACAAUGGGCGAAAGCCUGAUGCAGCGACGCCGCGUGAGGGAUGACGGCCUUCGGGUUGUAAACCUCUUUCAGCAGGGAAGAAGCGAAAGUGACGGUACCUGCAGAAGAAGCGCCGGCUAACUACGUGCCAGCAGCCGCGGUAAUACGUAGGGCGCAAGCGUUGUCCGGAAUUAUUGGGCGUAAAGAGCUCGUAGGCGGCUUGUCACGUCGGAUGUGAAAGCCCGGGGCUUAACCCCGGGUCUGCAUUCGAUACGGGCUAGCUAGAGUGUGGUAGGGGAGAUCGGAAUUCCUGGUGUAGCGGUGAAAUGCGCAGAUAUCAGGAGGAACACCGGUGGCGAAGGCGGAUCUCUGGGCCAUUACUGACGCUGAGGAGCGAAAGCGUGGGGAGCGAACAGGAUUAGAUACCCUGGUAGUCCACGCCGUAAACGUUGGGAACUA
rnacentral:rRNA from 3 species